GACGAACGCUGGCGGCGUGCUUAACACAUGCAAGUCGAACGGAAAGGCCCUGCUUUUGUGGGGUGCUCGAGUGGCGAACGGGUGAGUAACACGUGAGUAACCUGCCCUUGACUUUGGGAUAACUUCAGGAAACUGGGGCUAAUACCGGAUAGGAGCUCCUGCUGCAUGGUGGGGGUUGGAAAGUUUCGGCGGUUGGGGAUGGACUCGCGGCUUAUCAGCUUGUUGGUGGGGUAGUGGCUUACCAAGGCUUUGACGGGUAGCCGGCCUGAGAGGGUGACCGGCCACAUUGGGACUGAGAUACGGCCCAGACUCCUACGGGAGGCAGCAGUGGGGAAUAUUGCACAAUGGGCGGAAGCCUGAUGCAGCAACGCCGCGUGCGGGAUGACGGCCUUCGGGUUGUAAACCGCUUUCGCCUGUGACGAAGCGUGAGUGACGGUAAUGGGUAAAGAAGCACCGGCUAACAACGU
rnacentral:rRNA from 1 species